rnacentral:tRNA from 1 species
GGGGGCGUAGCUCAGCUGGGAGAGCACUUGCUUUGCAAGCAAGGGGUCGGCAGUUCAAUCCUGCUCGCCUCCACCA